UAAUUAUAACAAAUAUGAAGACCAUAGUAUAAAAUAAAAAUAUUUUUAAGUUAAUUUUGAAGUUUUGUUUUUGGAGAAGAACAACUCUAAACUUUAAAUAUGAAGUUUGCAAGUUUUAAAAUAGAUUAUCCUUUCGUAGAUGCUCUUAGACCAUCUCAAACCUUUCUUUAUUUUUAUAUUAUAAAAAAUUCAAAAAUGUAAAUGAAUUUUUGUUCCAAUGCAUUUUUUAUAAUAAAUGAAUGAUAUAGUUUAUAUCAUAAAAGAAUGCUAUUCGGAGGAAAACUAAUAGUUUUCUAUAAUAAAAAAAAUAUAGCAUUCUUUUAUUACAGAAACACAUUUAAAUAAUUUUUUUUUUUAUAAUUUCUCUAUUAUAUAGAGAGAAAAUAAAGUUAGAUUAGAGAUACUCUAACUUAUAAUUUUUCUUCUAGUCGAGAAUAGACUAAAAUAAAUAGAGUUUGAGUUGAACCGUUAAAAAUGUUGACUGAUACAAUAUCAAAAUACAAUUUAUAAUAAAAAAAAUUAUUUUGGGUUCAAGUUGCCACAUUUCAAAGUGACUCACUUUCCAUUUAUACUCAGAGAAACCAAUUUAUUUGUAGAGUAUUUGCAUCAUAUAGCCAGGAAUCAGAAAAUAAUUAAGUAAAUGGCAUAGCUGCGAAAAUAAUAAUGUACACAUUUCAUAUUACCCACGAUGCCCCUACCAUAACUCUGAGCUGAGUCUGACACACUAAACUCUAGAGUCUAUGAUCUUGUAAUUAUUACGCUACUCUACCCUAUUACACGUAACCGGUUAACAGUGGGAGACUAAACAAUAUUCAAAUUUGUAAUUACAUCAUCUCAUUGUCUCACUUCUGUUCUCUUUCUUCUUUGUGAAGAUUUUGAUUCGGUUCAUACUAUUAUAUUUCCCGAUUCGGAUCUCCUUUUCUCCUCCCCUAACUGUCUGACCAGGAUCUGAGCAAAUUCCAUCUCAAGAAAGAACUGACUCAAAUAAAAAAAGCUUCUAUGAGUUUUACGCGAUCCAGGUACCUCUUCCUCUUGGAGAUCCCCUCUCACCUCCUCCAGAUCCAUCGCCGCCACAGUGUGCAGAAACGGCGAGCCAGAACGCUAGCAGCUCAGAAAGUCCCCACUCGAAUAUAUCAGAAUUGCAGGGGUUAAUGUAUGGGUCUUGACAAGUGACAAACAAGAAACUCCAAUAUCCUAUGGAUUCUCAUCGAGGCUUCUGACUAGAAACAUGAGGCAAAUUGUAACAACUACUAACUCAUCAUAAAAAAAACUAGUAACUCAUUGAAUUCAUGUCGGAGGAGCUUAGAAGAAGAGAAUGUCAGUAUUGCAAGUGAUGAGGAAAGGAUGGCCUUCAUUAUUGACGGUACCAGUCUCGUAUGUAUUUCUUUUCUUUUUUCUUUUUACUAUGUAGAUCUUCCAAGUGGCAUGUAAAUGCUCUGCAUACUCUGCUACCGUGUUGCUCCCUUUCAGAAACUAGAAUCGUUGCACUUGUAAAGAACCGGACUUCUGACAUGACCGUUGCCAUUGGUGAUGGUGCCAAUGAUGUCUCCAUGAUCCAAAUGGAUGAUGUUGUAGUAGGGAUCAGCGGCUAAGAAGGUAGGCAAGCUGUAAUGGCAUCUGAUUUCGCAAGGGGACAGUGCAUAUUCUUAGUUCCGCUAUUGCUAGUCCAUGGAUACUGGAAUAACGGAAGAAUGGGAUACAAGAUACUAUACAAUUUCUACAAAAUGCAGUUUUUGUUCUAAUUUAUACAAUUUAUAAAGACUUUUUAACUGUCUUUCAUAAUCCGGAUCAACUAUGUAUUAUCCGGUUCUAAUAAGCAUUGAUGAUACGAAUACAUAAUGUAUUUUCUAGAUAUUAUCUUUUUAAUCCGGAUUAUUUUUAUUGUACAAUUAUUAGACACAUUCAUGAAUUUUAUUGCAAAAAUGGUAAUAACACAAUACCACCACAAUAUAUAUCCAUUUUUACUUCGUGAAGCAGCGACAUAAGCUUGGAGAGGAAGAUCAAGCUGCUGUGCUGCUCAUGGCUCUCUAGUAUGGCUCAGUAUAUGAUUAGUGGUUUAUAGAUCCCAUCAUUGUAGACGGUGGCUAAUCCACAACAAUUACUAGGGAUUUCCUCUUUAAUCCAGAUAGCAAUGAUGAUUACUAAGACUUACAAACAUAUUUUUUGGUUAACCGUAAAUUUGUUAACUUUGAUUAAAUCCAGAUAUUUUGUUUGAUUUACUGAAGCUAACUAUGAUUUAAUCCGACUACUUUUUACCCAUAUAUUUGUAGAGUUUGUUAAUGGCUAAUAAUUCAUAAUAUACAAUUUGUGUAUGAACCAUUUAAUUUGGAUGCUAAACGACAAUGAGUUGGUAUUGUAAUUUAUAAGCUACUCAAAUAUCUUAAAAUAUUCUUGUUUUAUCAUAAUAUCUACAAAAAUAUUUAUAAAUGAGUUUUAUAAUCGGAUAAUAAAUAGAUAAUCUGGAUUAUGACAGUAAUAGCCGGAUAAUAAGUUUUUUUGUUUGUAAUAUCAAUGUGUAUUAUAACUGGAUUGCAAAUCAUGUUCUCAAGUUGAUUAAUUAUAAAAGAUGAAUUAGUAUGUACGUGUGAGUUUUAACUGGGUAUUAGGAAGUUAAUCCGGAUAAAGCUUGCAAUAGCCAACAAUAUCAUUUGUUAGCCGGAAUUAACCUGUGAUAUACCUUGAUAUGUAUAUCAUCUUAUUUUAGUUCAUUGAAGUGGCUUUAUGAUGCAUUUAGGUGUAUAUACUGCAUGUAUAGGUUUAUUUUCAUUGAUAGGGGCUAAAGUGAACAUUUGAAGUUUUAGGUUGAAACCUCAAAGAUAGUUCUGCAACUUAGUAAGUUUCAGGUCAAAAAUACAAACUAUACAGAGAUCAAGGAUCAUUUUUUCAUGUGUGAAGAGGUCUAGAAUGUACAAUCAAAACGCUAGGGAUUAAUUCGAGAAAAUAUAUGUACAAUGCAAGAGUUCGGAGUCAGAAACAAAACUAUGAAAAAUCUUAGGAUCAUAUAUGCAAAAGAGCCAAACUUGGCCAUUGUUGUCUCAGCGAGCUUUUGGAGACCAAUUGGAGUCGCGACGGUGAAAGCCACCAAUUCCAAAUCCAGAGCAUGACAACCGCGGGAGAGGAGCAAGGCGAUGAACGGCGGAUCUGGACGAAGAGACACAUCAGAGUGUUCGACAAGACGCGGAGGUGAUGCAGUAUAGAGGAGACUCAGAUUGAAAAACCCAGAAAUACAAUAAAACAAUGGACCAAAUAACCAAGUCUCAUCAUGAAACAAGGAACCAAACCGAAAAAUACAGUGAAACAAGGAAAUAAGAAGAUCCAAAUUUUAGUAAAAGAAAAAGGACAUAAGAAGAACCCAGAAAUCGUGACAAAAAAAGAAGAUCCCAGAAAAUACAGUGAAAUAAAGAACCAAA